ACAGAGCUGCAUCUCAGUGGCAAAGCAUCUGCUUUACAAGCAGAAGUUCCCUGGUUCAAUCUCUGGAACCAGCUGUG